UUUGUUGCAAUAAGUUUCUUUUCACUCAAAUAAUGCGUUAAAUUAAAAAAAGCAUAAAAAAUCAGAAAAAAAUUUCAAAAAAAAUUUCCACUCGAAAAUUUCCUAAGGCUUACCCCUUACGUUUUUUUUGAGAAAUUUUGCAAAAAAAAUUAAAUUGAUUUAUUUUAAUGCCAAUCGGUUGCAAUGUGUUUCUUUUCACUCAAGUAAUGUUUUAAAUAAAACAAAGAGUGAAAAAUAAUCAAAAAAUCAAAAAAUGCAAAAAAAUAAAAAUUUACUAAGGCUCAUUUUUCCACCAAGUUUUGUCUACAACUCGGUCGGUAUCCAACGGAUCGCCAAUCUUUAACCUGUGGUCGAUAGAUGGCACCAAUGGCUACAUUUUCUUCUUGGACGGCCAUGCCCUCAGAUGUCUGUGCCAGAAGUUAUUCGAGGAACCAAGUUCCAUACCCUGUUUGAGAAAAUGUAAAAUUUUCUUCAUUUUUGCACCAAGUUUUGUCUACAACUCGGUCGGUAUCCAACGGAUCGCCAAUCUUUAACCUGUGGUCGAUAGAUGGCACCAAUGGCUACAUUUUCUUCUUGGACGGCCAUGCCCUCAGAUGUCUGUGCCAGAAGUUAUUCGAGGAACCAAGUUCCAUACCCUGUUUGAGAAAAUGUAAAAUUUUCUUCAUUUUUGAGCAAUUUAGCAAAAUUUUUAAAUGCGAUAAUUUUUAUUGCGAAUUUGUUGCAAUAAGUUUCUUUUCACUCAAAUAAUGCUUUAAAUUAAAAAAAGCAUAAAAAAUCAGAAAAAAAUUUCAAAAAAAAUUUCCACUCGAAAAUUUCAUAAGGCUUACCCCAUACGUUUUUUUUGAGAAAUUUUGCAAAAAAAUUAAAUUGAUUUAUUUUAAUGCCAAUCGAUUGCAAUGUGUUUCUUUUCACUCAAGUAAUGCUUUAAAUAAAAAAAGAGUGAAAAAUAAUCAAAAAAUCAAAAAAUGCAAAAAAAUAAAAAUUUACUAAGGCUCAUUUUUGCACCAAGUUUUGCCUAUAACUCGGUCUGUAUAUAACGGAUCGCCAAUCUUCAACCUGUGGUCGAUAGAUGGCACCAAUGGCUACAUUUUCUUCUUGGACGGCCAUGCCAUCAGAUGUCUGUGCCAGAAGUUAUUCGAGGAACCAAGUUCCAUACCCUGUUUGAGAAAAUGUAAAAUUUUCUUCAUUUUUGCACCAAGUUUUGCCUAUAACUCGGUCGCUAUCCAACGGAUCGCCAAUCUUUAACCUGUGGUCGAUAGAUGGCACCAAUGGCUACAUUUUCUUCUUGGACGGCC